rnacentral:rRNA from 1 species
UACGUAGGUGGCAAGCGUUGUCCGGAUUUACUGGGCGUAAAGAGCGCGCAGGCGGUCGUGACAAGUCGCGUGUGAAAGCCCCCGGCUCAACUGGGGAGGGUCACGCGAUACUGUUCGACUCGAAGGCAGGAGAGGGAAGCGGAAUUCCCGGUGUAGUGGUGAAAUGCGUAGAUAUCGGGAGGAACACCAGUGGCGAAGGCGACUACCUGGCCUGUUUCUUGACGCUGAGGCGCGAAAGCUAGGGGAGCAAACGGGG